UUUAUAUAAAUAUUUUUUUUAAAUAGAAUUUGGCCUUAUUCAACCCAAACGCUCAGUCCAGGUCUAAUCCACUCACUACCCUGUCACUCAAAUGAGUGCUGGGCAGAACACAGACACAAACACAGCUCCAUCUGCUAAUUAAAAAUGGGCAUGAAACUGUUAACAGGCAUCUGUUGCAUUGUUUGAAGCUAAUGGGCAGAGACAAAGCUGAAAUGGCUCUUAUAAUGCAAACCCAGUGAUUUCACUCAUUUUCUAUUUGGUAUUUAUGUUAGUGGGGGGUUGGAAGCUGGGUGUUAAAACAGCUUAUUAUGGAGACUGAAAGAUAAGUAAAAUAUCUUUGAUAUUCUAAAACAAACCUUUCAAACUGAUUAUAGAAAGAUAUGUAGCAUUUUAUACUGGGGGAAGUAACAUUCCUGUGUUAAGAGUCCAAAUUAAACACUUUUUAUCUUAACUCAAAUAUCAUCUAAUCAUCUAUAAUACUGUGAAAGAGAAUAGUAACAAAUUCAAGCUAUGCUUUACAGCUCAUAUAGGGCUUUCACAAUUCAUCCCUUCAUCCGUUCAUUCAUCCAAUGUGCAGACAUUUAAUACAGGCCUUGGAGAUUUAAAAGGCGAAUAUGACUUGAUUUUUGCCUUAAGGAGCUCACAGCAACUCUGAAAGGUAGACACAGUAUUCUUACACUCUGUUAUAAGGAACUAAGGCCCUAGAAGGAUAACUGACUCCCCAAAGCCCACAAAGCUAGAACGGCAGAUGCCCAUUGCUCUUAAUUCAACAUGCUAUCUCCAUAAUGCCAAACAUACUAGUCCACCUCAUCUGCCUGGAAAAUGAAAAUAAUUUAAGGCUUUUUCAUGUCAAUACCAGCUCUGAUAAAGGAUCUAUUUUAAAGUACUGUAACCACCAUACAUCCUUGAUGGCCAUGCCUGCUUUGCAAGCUGGUAGCUCACAGGCCUCAUCUAGCCCACAGACAUGUCUGUUUGGCCCUUAUUGUAAUGGCCCUCACAUUGUUUUUUGUUUGUUUUUAUUAAUUGCCCAUAAAGUUGAGUUUUUAUGAGAAAUUUUCAGCAAAUCUUGAAAUAUGUGAUGAUUUUCCAGCAUGGCAAUGGUAAAGCUGCAAAUAAAAAGCAGCCACGCCCUAAGAGAGGGAAUACAUACAAUCCAGGGUCCACAUCACACCCUGCUGCUUCCCAUUCUGGGUCCACUCCCCUUACUCAUAGUUCCCACCAGAACCAUGUGAGUUUGCAACCCCUAACCUAGGUAGUAAGAAUCUACAAUCUUACCUUGAAUUUCCCUUUUUACAUUUCCGUGGCUACUUGCAUUUCUGAAGCUUAGUGAUAUCAUACUCCACAUUACUCGCCACCUAAAAUCUACUUCCCCAUCCUCACCCCCAACCCUCUUCUCAUGCUAUGAAAACUCUAUUCCUGCAAAAUAUUCUCAAGUAACAGUUCUAACACCCACAGGAGAGCUGAUGUCCAGAGCUGGGUGAAGACAGGCAGACCUAGACUCGAGCUGGCCUGAGGCCAGCAGCUCCCUGCUCAUCCACUUCAGGAUCUAUGGUUCUUUUCAGAUUCAGUUAUUGGAUUCAAUUCAAAAAUAUACUGCUAAAUUUUUCUUUGUCCUCAAAGACUAGACUUAUUUACCUCUAAAACAAUAUCUAAACCUAUUUCCCUCCAGCUUUUCUCAGUGGAUCCAAACAAUCUCGCUGCUGUUGCCAAGAGAACCUCCUCCCUGACUUGCUGCCUGCAGAACAGCUGGUGAAGCUCUUCAUUAAAGUACACAUUCUUCAGACAGAUCCAUAUUUGUACCCAAGACUCAGUUUCCCCAUGCCCAUCCUUUAUAUGUAGGAAGGCUUUUUUCAUUCACUAGAACAUUGAUUGAAGAGAUGAGUUUAAUCCUUUAUGAUCAAGUAUUAAAUUCUACUUUUUCUGAACCAGAGUCGUUAUCAAUGCUAUUGCUUAGAUGGGAAAUCUACUGGCAGCUUUGAAAGAACACAAUGACAUUAAAAUAAGGCUUUAUGUACAAAAUGUUCAAUAUGAACUUGCAUGUUCCUUGCAUAUUUUUGUUUGAGAAGU
rnacentral:lncRNA from 1 species